CAGUAGCCGCGGGAAUACGUAGGGGGCAAGCGUUAUCCGGAUUUACUGGGUGUAAAGGGAGCGCAGACGGCAGUGCAAGUCUGAAGUGAAAGGCGUGGGCUCAACCCAUGAACUGCUUUGGAAACUGUAUAGCUUGAGUGUCGGAGGGGUAAGCGGAAUUCCUAGUGUAGCGGUGAAAUGCGUAGAUAUUAGGAGGAACACCGGAGGCGAAGGCGGCUUACUGGACGACAACUGACGUUGAGGCUCGAAGGCGUGGGGAGCAAACAGGAUUAGAGACCCCCGUAGUCCCUGUCUCUUAUAC
rnacentral:rRNA from 1 species